rnacentral:rRNA from 1 species
AGAGUUUGAUCCUGGCUCAGGAUAAACGCUGGCGGCGUGCCUAAUGCAUGCAAGUCGAACGGGAACCUCUUCGGAGGUCGACCGUGGCGGACGGGUGAGGAGCACGUAGCUGACCUGCCCUGGUGUGGGGGAUAUCCUCCGGAAACGGAGUGUAAUACCGCAUGUGCUCAUUUGGAGGGAUCUGGAUGAGGAAAGCCGAGAGGCGUACCAGGAGGGGGCUGCGUCCGAUUAGCUAGUUGGUGGGGUAACGGCUCACCAAGGCGAUGAUCGGUAGCUGGUCUGAGAGGACGAUCAGCCACACGGGGACUGAGACACGGCCCCGACUCCUACGGGAGGCAGCAGCAAGGAAUUUUCCACAAUGGGCGCAAGCCUGAUGGAGCAACGCCGCGUGGGGGAUGACGCACUUCGGUGUGUAAACCCCUUUUCGAGGGGACGAAGACAAUGACGGUACCCUCGGAAUAAGGAUCGGCUAACUACGUGCCAGCAGCCGCGGUAAGACGUAGGAUCCGAGCGUUGUCCGGAGUUACUGGGCGUAAAGCGCGCGCAGGCGGUUACACGCAUCGGCGGUGAAAGCCCCCCGCUCAACGGGGGAGGGUCCGUCGAGAUGGUGUGACUGGAGGCAGGGAGAGGCCAGUGGAAUUCCGGGUGUAGCGGUGAAAUGCGUAGAGAUCCGGAGGAACACCAGUGGCGAAGGCGGCUGGCUGGACCUGACCUGACGCUGAGGCGCGAAGGCGUGGGGAGCGAACGGGAUUAGAUACCCCGGUAGUCCACGCAGUAAACGAUGGGUACUAGGUGUGGCGGGAGUUGACCCCUGCCGUGCCGGCGCUAACGCAGUAAGUACCCCGCC